CCUUACCUCCUCUUGACAUCCUGCGAAUUCGGUAGAGAUACGUUAGUGCCUUCGGGAGCGCAGAGACAGGUGCUGCAUGGCUGUCGUCAGCUCGUGUUGUGAAAUGUUGGGUUAAGUCCCGUAACGAGCGCAACCCUUGUCUUUAUUGGCCACAGCGUAAAGGCGGGAACUGUAAGGAGACUGCCGGUGACAAACCGGAGGAAGGUGGGGACGACGUCAAGUCAUCAUGGCCCUUACGACUAGGGCUACACACGUGCUACAAUGGUCGGUACAAAGGGUUGCCAACUCGCGAGAGGGAGCCAAUCCCGAAAACCCGUUCUCAGUCCGGAUCGGAGUCUGCAACUGGCCUCCGUGAAGUGGGAAUCGCUAGUAAUCGUAGAUACAGACUGCA
rnacentral:rRNA from 1 species